rnacentral:rRNA from 1 species
AGCGAACGCUGGCGGCAGGCUUAACACAUGCAAGUCGAGCGGGCCCUUCGGGGUCAGCGGCGGACGGGUGAGUAACGCGUGGGAACGUGCCUUCUGGUCUGGAAUAACCCUGGGAAACUAGGGCUAAUACCGGAUACGCCCUUUUGGGGAAAGGUUUACUGCCGGAAGAUCGGCCCGCGUCUGAUUAGCUAGUUGGUGGGGAACGGCCUACCAAGGCGACGAUCAGUAGCUGGUCUGAGAGGAUGAUCAGCCACACUGGGACUGAGACACGGCCCAGACUCCUACGGGAGGCAGCAGUGGGGAAUAUUGGACAAUGGGCGCAAGCCUGAUCCAGCCAUGCCGCGUGAGUGAUGAAGGCCUUAGGGUUGUAAAGCUCUUUUAUCCGGGACGAUAAUGACGGUACCGGAGGAAUAAGCCCCGGCUAACUUCGUG